rnacentral:rRNA from 1 species
AUUGAACGCUGGCGGCAGGCCUAACACAUGCAAGUCGAGCGAGCGGCGGACGGGUGAGUAAUGUAUGGGGACUGCCCGAUAGAGGGGGGUAACUACUGGAAACGGUAGCUAAUAACGCAUACUAUCGGAUAUCCGAUAGGGGAUUAGCUAGUUGGUGAGGUAAUGGCUCACAAAGGCGACGAUCCCUAGCUGGUCUGAGAGGAUGAGCAGCCACACGGGAACGGAGAAACGGCCAAGACUCCUACGGAGGCAGCAGUGGGGAAUAUUGCACAAUGGGCGCAAGCCUGAUGCAGCCAUGCCGGGUGUAUGAAGAAGGCCUUAGGGUUGUAAAGUACUUUCAGCGGGGAGGCGUUACCCGCAGAAGAAGCACCGGCUAACUCCGUGCCAGCAGCCGCGGUAAUAC